UAUUUUUGUCUGGGCCCUAUGCUAUCAAGUGUUGUUCAUGUUUGGCCGGCAAGAUCUAGCUAGGUAGACCGGCUAUAGUUUCAUCAUUAACAUGGUGGAUCAAGUGAAGAGUGUGAGCUAGAGAAUUUAGUGCUGCCAUCAUCAGCUCGUCGACAAUGACACUAUAACCUGUCAAAUACGAGAAAUUUAAUAUGUAUAGAUCUACACAUAUUUAGAAUGUCUACUUCUCUGUACAGGAGCAAUGGCUAAUAUCCAGCUAUCCCAACAGUGCGCUCCUCUUGGCUAUGCUAACGGACGAGACUGGACAGUUUGAGGACUGGAGUAUGACCUGCUCGUUCGAGCGUUGCUGGGUAGCUCAGAGGCAUCAAGAGAAUCUACGUUUUCUCAACCAAAAUUUAACUGAGUUACGAGUUGGGGCCUAGAAUCAGAGAAGUCCAGCAGCCUACUAAAUCUUUUUGAAACGUAAUUUGAAGGCAUUCAAUCAUUCUGAAGUUGCCCUAGCCUCCUUCGCAGCCUCUCCUUUUUCUGUUCUUUGUCACACGGUCAAUAAGAUAAAAUACGCAAAGAUGACUAGCUCGACUGACACUGAGUUCUCUUCCGCUCUGGCUUAUGCCCUUUCUUGUGUGAAGAGAAGUCAUUUAGUUCUGAGGGAUAAACAGCUUGACACUCUACGGAUGCUGUACGAAGGGAAUGAUGUUUUCCUGUGGGUUCCUACUGGAUAUGAAAGUCUAUCUGCUACCAAACUUUGCCUUUUUAAUUCGACAAGAAGCUGGAUAGAAUUAGUUCUCCUCCUAGUGAGCGUAGUAUUGUCCCCUAGUGUCUCUAAUGGUAGAUCAAGUGACUAGUCUACAUGAUCGUGGUGUUCCUGCUGGUAUACUCAGUGGAAACAAAGGGGUCGAUAAGAAGUCCAAGUGAGUGCUUCACCUACCCCCAGAAUACUCAUAAGGCAGUGCCAGUCCUCUAUACAAGGCUCUAACUGCUCCAAUUGUCCACUGCGAGUGUCCGCAUCUCGCAUAUGUUUUUUGCUACAUCGCUGUCUUUCACAAGUCAUCUGAUCGCCACCUGACAUAACAAACAUCAAGGACUACAACCUCAGAUUUUUUGGCCAUCUCUGUGCUGUGGGGGUGCUUAAUGUGACUGACAACACACCGUUUGUACCGCUGGAGGGGCUUGAUGUACUCGCACAGUAUUCGACCGACUAGAACGACCAAAUUUCUUGGAUGCCCUCAAUGUCGGCCUUUGUAGGAAGGAAGCAUCGAUAGGACGUUGGUACAGCUUGCUGAUUUUCGUGACCAACUUCAACACGGCACAGUAACUGAUAGUGACACUAAGAUGAUUCAGCCUGGAGUAUACCUUUGAAGAGUACGAGAGACAGAAACGACUGAAUACCACACAUUCUUGUGUUACGCUCUUUCAAGAGAAUUGCUGUGGCCAUACACAUCCCAGGGUAGUGACUCUCUCCGCGUUUAUGCAAGUUCCUAUGAUCUGAACGUCCUACGAUCGUCUGGAUAAGCCUAAAUAGAAUCGGAGACUUUCGCUGUAGUUCAGACACAGCCUGUUUCCACGAUAACGCUUCCACAUUGUCAAUUGGAACCCGGUGAAAUAGAGAGACAAACUCCCCAGAGUUACGACAUAGAGUGGAACAUUCGUCGUCAAGAAUUUUCACCACACCCUCUACCAAUUGGUCCUUCAGUGAAGGGCAAGAAAAUGCUGCCUUGGCAAUAGACUGAAUGUUGCCACUAUUCAGUGCCUGGCGUAAUUUCUGGAGACUUUCAUCUACUUCCGCAGUCACUGUACUGGGUGGUUUAACAUACCGUCAACAGAAGAAAACUGCUCGAGAUUGGUCAACUCUAACAGCGGUGGCUGACGAGGACAGUCUGUGUGCGCUAUGAAAAAGAGAUGAUUCCUGUCAUCUACAUAUAUGAUUUGUUGCAAUCAACCUACGUUCCUCCCUGGUUGAGAAAGCAAGCCUUCUUCCAGGUGCUCCUACUGUCAGACGUUUUGCUAGAGGUCUAGCAUGGACUGUGUGAGGUGAUGCUUCAAGCCCAUAGUUCUCUUCCUACCUGAUACCAUAGGACUACAGAUGGAAGCCUUAUUUCGACCCUGCUCAAAACCACACUUAGCCAUACUUCUAAAGGCUUUAAGUUUAGACUCCAGAGACUGGAAUUUGUUUGUGCAAGCUCUACAAAUGUAUGAAGAUAGCCCAUCACACUCACUAACUGGCAGCUCUAGCAGUUUGCCAAGUCUGUCUGGAAGGCAUCUUUGAACAGACUCUUUGCUGAACAGAGCUGAGCAGCGAGUAGAAGUAACAAUGUUGCAGCACAAUCUGCAUAUUCUGGUGGCUGCCAUUGUGGGCUUGAACAUUCUACCACCAACCACGCUGUCUUACGUAUUUUUCCUUUGUGUACUUUGUCCGAUUUUAUCACUUGCGUAAUACUGAUAAAUAUACGAAUUAUUUCGCGCAUGCGCAUACAAGGUAUACCAGGCCGCUGUACAGCGUAAAGCGGACUUGAGUCGAGGCUAUGCUUAGCCUCGAUCCCAGGCCGAGUUUUCGCUUUUAUAACGGUUAGACGAACAACUGGGCCUGGUACUAGUUGUCUGCGCAUGUGUCAGUCGUUCGUCAGAUUCUGACGAAUGGAUAUUCUCGUUCACUUUCGUGACAUUUAUAUUUGUGUACUAUCGUGUACUAGAAGUCAGUUCCCGUUUUAUCAUUAUUGGAAUGGCUCUUAGCUGAAGCUUCUCUCUUCUCUGAAGCUUAGAAAACAUUAUUCUGAAGACUGAACAACAAGGGAAGAGGUAUAAAGCUUUGUCAAGCUUGUUAAGGAGCAAUGGCUAAUAUCCAACUAUCCCAACAGUGCUCCUCGUGGCUAUACUAACGGACGAGACUGGACAGUUUGAGGUAAGGGUUUAACCGUCUUUGGUUUCUUUUAAUAUUGUCCUAUACUCACAGACACAGGACUGGAGUAUGACCUGCUCAUUUGAGCGUUGCUGGGUAGCUCAGAGACAUCAAGAGAAUCUACGUUUUCUCAAGCAAUGAGUUACGAGUUGGGGCCUAGAAUCAGAGAAGUCCAGCAGCCUGCUAAAUCUUUUUGAAACGUAAUUUGAAGGCAUUCAAUCAUCCUGAAGUUGCCCUGGGUCACUGUAAUUGUGCUGCAGCACAACUGGCAACUCCCCAGGCCUUUGUGAAGCAGCUCCCUAUGUGCAUCUUUUGUGUACUCACUCUGUGCAUUUUCUGUGUACAAAUUUCUAUUAUUGAUUUAUUAAAUAUUUUUGCCGACCACAAA